rnacentral:rRNA from 1 species
AGAGUUUGAUCAUGGCUCAGAUUGAACGCUGGCGGCAUGCUUAAUACAUGCAAGUCGAACGGUAACAGAUUCUUCGGAAUGCUGACGAGUGGCGGACGGGUGAGUAAUACAUAGGAAUCUGCCCAUGUAGUGGGGGACAACUUGGGGAAACUCAAGCUAAUACCGCAUAAUUCCUACGGGAUAAAGAGGGCCACUGCUUGCAAGCUCUUGCUACUGGAUGAGCCUAUGUCGGAUUAGUUAGUUGGUAAGGUAAUGGCUUCCCAAGACAGCGAUCCGUAGCUGGUUUGAGAGGAUGAUCAGCCACACUGGGACUGAGACACGGCCCAGACUCCUACGGGAGGCAGCAGUAGGGAGUAUUGGACAAUGGGCGCAAGCCUGAUCCAGCAAUGCCGCGUGUGUGAAGAAGGCCUGCGGGUUGUAAAGCACUUUCAAUUGGGAAGAAAGAUUAUGAGUUAAUACCUUAUAAUAUUGACGU